UUAAAUUGAAGAGUUUGAUCAUGGCUCAGAUUGAACGCUGGCGGCAGGCCUAACACAUGCAAGUCGAACGGUAACAGGAAGCAGCUUGCUGCUUCGCUGACGAGUGGCGGACGGGUGAGUAAUGUCUGGGAAACUGCCUGAUGGAGGGGGAUAACUACUGGAAACGGUGGCUAAUACCGCAUAACGUCGCAAGACCAAAGAGGGGGACCUUCGGGCCUCUUGCCAUCAGAUGUGCCCAGAUGGGAUUAGCUAGUUGGUGAGGUAACGGCUCACCAAGGCGACGAUCCCUAGCUGGUCUGAGAGGAUGACCAGCCACACUGGAACUGAGACACGGUCCAGACUCCUACGGGAGGCAGCAGUGGGGAAUAUUGCACAAUGGGCGCAAGCCUGAUGCAGCCAUGCCGCGUGUAUGAAGAAGGCCUUCGGGUUGUAAAGUACUUUCAGCGGGGAGGAAGGUGUUGUGGUUAAUAACCGCAGCAAUUGACGUUACCCGCAGAAGAAGCACCGGCUAACUCCGUGCCAGCAGCCGCGGUAAUACGGAGGGUGCAAGCGUUAAUCGGAAUUACUGGGCGUAAAGCGCACGCAGGCGGUCUGUCAAGUCGGAUGUGAAAUCCCCGGGCUCAACCUGGGAACUGCAUUCGAAACUGGCAGGCUUGAGUCUUGUAGAGGGGGGUAGAAUUCCAGGUGUAGCGGUGAAAUGCGUAGAGAUCUGGAGGAAUACCGGUGGCGAAGGCGGCCCCCUGGACAAAGACUGACGCUCAGGUGCGAAAGCGUGGGGAGCAAACAGGAUUAGAUACCCUGGUAGUCCACGCCGUAAACGAUGUCUACUUGGAGGUUGUGCCCUUGAGGCGUGGCUUCCGGAGCUAACGCGUUAAGUAGACCGCCUGGGGAGUACGGCCGCAAGGUUAAAACUCAAAUGAAUUGACGGGGGCCCGCACAAGCGGUGGAGCAUGUGGUUUAAUUCGAUGCAACGCGAAGAACCUUACCUGGUCUUGACAUCCACAGAACUUUCCAGAGAUGGAUUGGUGCCUUCGGGAACUGUGAGACAGGUGCUGCAUGGCUGUCGUCAGCUCGUGUUGUGAAAUGUUGGGUUAAGUCCCGCAACGAGCGCAACCCUUAUCCUUUGUUGCCAGCGGUCCGGCCGGGAACUCAAAGGAGACUGCCAGUGAUAAACUGGAGGAAGGUGGGGAUGACGUCAAGUCAUCAUGGCCCUUACGACCAGGGCUACACACGUGCUACAAUGGCGCAUACAAAGAGAAGCGACCUCGCGAGAGCAAGCGGACCUCAUAAAGUGCGUCGUAGUCCGGAUUGGAGUCUGCAACUCGACUCCAUGAAGUCGGAAUCGCUAGUAAUCGUGGAUCAGAAUGCCACGGUGAAUACGUUCCCGGGCCUUGUACACACCGCCCGUCACACCAUGGGAGUGGGUUGCAAAAGAAGUAGGUAGCUUAACCUUCGGGAGGGCGCUUACCACUUUGUGAUUCAUGACUGGGGUGAAGUCGUAACAAGGUAACCGUAGGGGAACCUGCGGUUGGAUCACCUCCUUACCUUAAAGAAGC
rnacentral:rRNA from 4 species